rnacentral:rRNA from 1 species
GUUAGGCGGAAUCACUGGGCUUAAAGCGUGUGUAGGUGGAUGCCUAAGUACCUUGUGAAAUCCCACAGCUUAACUGUGGAACUGCUUGGUAUACUGGGUGUCUUGAGUCACUCAGGGGCGAGCGGAACAAAUGGUGGAGCGGUGAAAUGCGUAGAUAUCAUUUGGAACGCCAAUGGUGAAAACAGCUCGCUGGGGGUGCACUGACACUGAGACACGAAAGCCAGGGGAGCGAACGGG